CCCUAGCCCUGAUGGAAGCGGCGUCCUUUGCUGCCUCGUCUUUUGGGACGAGGCAGCAAAGAUAUAGCGUACAGCAGGAAAUAGC
rnacentral:sRNA from 1 species